rnacentral:rRNA from 1 species
ACGUGAGUAACCUGCCCCUGACUCUGGGAUAAGCCUUGGAAACGAGGUCUAAUACCGGAUAUGAGACGUACAGGCAUCUGUUGCGUCUGGAAAGAUUUAUCGGUGAGGGAUGGGCUCGCGGCCUAUCAGCUUGUUGGUGGGGUGAUGGCCUACCAAGGCGACGACGGGUAGCCGGCCUGAGAGGGCGACCGGCCACACUGGGACUGAGACACGGCCCAGACUCCUACGGGAGGCAGCAGUGGGGAAUAUUGCACAAUGGGCGCAAGCCUGAUGCAGCGACGCCGCGUGAGGGAUGACGGCCUUCGGGUUGUAAACCUCUUUCAGCAGGGAAGAAGCGCAAGUGACGGUACCUGCAGAAGAAGCGCCGGCUAACUACGUGCCAGCAGCCGCGGUAAUACGUAGGGCGCAAGCGUUGUCCGGAAUUAUUGGGCGUAAAGAGCUCGUAGGCGGUUUGUCGCGUCUGCUGUGAAAACCUAAGGCUCAACCUUGGGCUUGCAGUGGGUACGGGCAGACUAGAGUGCGGUAGGGGUGACUGGAAUUCCUGGUGUAGCGGUGGAAUGCGCAGAUAUCAGGAGGAACACCGAUGGCGAAGGCAGGUCACUGGGCCGCAACUGACGCUGAGGAGCGAAAGCAUGGGGAGCGAACAGGAUUAGAUACCCUGGUAGUCCAUGCCGUAAACGUUGGGCACUAGGUGUGGGGCUCAUUCCACGAGUUCCGUGCCGCAGCAAACGCAUUAAGUGCCCCGCCUGGGGAGUACGGCCGCAAGGCUAAAACUCAAAGAAAUUGACGGGGGCCCGCACAAGCGGCGGAGCAUGCGGAUUAAUUCGAUGCAACGCGAAGAACCUUACCAAGGCUUGACAUACACCGGAAAAGUGCAG